rnacentral:rRNA from 1 species
ACGCUGGCGGUGUGCCUAAUACAUGCUAGUCGAACGCGUUGGCCCAAUUGAUUGAUGGUGCUUGAACCUGAUUGAUUUUGGUCGCCAACGAGUGGCGGACGGGUGAGUAACACGUAGGUAACCUGCCCAGAAGCGGGGGAUAACAUUUGGAAACAGAUGCUAAUACCGUAUAACAGCGUUGUUCGCAUGAACAACGCUUAAAAGAUGGCUUCUCGCUAUCACUUCUGGAUGGACCUGCGGUGCAUUAGCUUGUUGGUGGGGUAACGGCCUACCAAGGCGAUGAUGCAUAGCCGAGUUGAGAGACUGAUCGGCCACAAUGGGACUGAGACACGGCCCAUACUCCUACGGGAGGCAGCAGUAGGGAAUCUUCCACAAUGGGCGCAAGCCUGAUGGAGCAACACCGCGUGAGUGAAGAAGGGUUUCGGCUCGUAAAGCUCUGUUGUUAAAGAAGAACACGUAUGAGAGUAACUGUUCAUACGUUGACGGUAUUUAACCAGAAAGUCACGGCUAACUACGUGCCAGCAGCCGCGGUAAUACGUAGGUGGCAAGCGUUAUCCGGAUUUAUUGGGCGUAAAGAGAGUGCAGGCGGUUUUCUAAGUCUGAUGUGAAAGCCUUCGGCUUAACCGGAGAAGUGCAUCGGAAACUGGAUAACUUGAGUGCAGAAGAGGGUAGUGGAACUCCAUGUGUAGCGGUGGAAUGCGUAGAUAUAUGGAAGAACACCAGUGGCGAAGGCGGCUACCUGGUCUGCAACUGACGCUGAGACUCGAAAGCAUGGGUAGCGAACAGGAUUAGAUACCCUGGUAGUCCAUGCCGUAAACGAUGAGUGCUAGGUGUUGGAGGGUUUCCGCCCUUCAGUGCCGGAGCUAACGCAUUAAGCACUCCGCCUGGGGAGUACGACCGCAAGGUUGAA